CCCGGCAUAUAAACGCGCCGCUGCUGUCGGCUCUGCAAAUUCUCUGUUCCUGGUCGGGUGACAUUUUUUUUUUACAAUUCGUGGUUUUUUAAAGCGGAUUUAAGGAAGAAAACAGAAAAAAAACCAAAAAAAGCUGCGACGAUGUCUUUUUUAAAGAAAGGACUUGAUGUAAACACAGAUGAUUUAGUUAAGCAAGGAAAAGAUGCCGUGCAGGAUGCCACCAAUCAGUGCAUCGAAGAAGGACAGAAAGUCGCCCAGGAAGCGGUUGAUAAGGGAUGCCAAGCUGCGAAGGAAGCGGGAGAGAAGGCAGUAGGACAAGUCAAAGGUGGCUUCAAGAAGAAGUGAAGACAUAUACUCUGCAGAUUACAUUGUUUGGGAUUUUUACCUCUAUAAUGUAUUUAAAAAAAGCCAAUUUAUCUCCUCACCUGGGGUAAAAAAAUAAAAUAAGACCCCUCCCCCCAUUAUCUAAAGGUGGCUUAUAUUAAACAAUUAUUCAAACAACAAA